GGGCUUCGUGUCCUGCGUUCCGGGAGCGCCAACCCCUCCAGGUUAGGAAUCUGAGAGUACGGGCUGCGCGCACCUGGGGCGGGUGCCUGGGAGGAGGUGGAGGAGGAGACGGUCCUCAGAACGGGUCCUGGGGGUCGGAGGCGAGGGCGGGGGUUGUAAGUGGCCGGGAGAGGUCCCUCCCGCGGGUCCCGGCGCCCCCCGCCCCGUCGGGGACGCACCUACUUCGUGCAGUUUGUGCAGCGAGCGCGCCAGCUCCUAGUUGGAGAGGUCGCUGAUGCGCGCCGCGUGGCAGAAGGCGAGCCCCGCGUGGGAGCGCCCCCCAACCCCCGCAGCCUGGGCUGAGCCGCAGAGCCCGCUGCUUCUUGAAGUAGUAGCUUGGAGAAGAGAGGCGGGGCGGCCGCCUCAGACACUCCCAGCCCUCUCUGUCUCACAGGUGCGGAAGCCAAAGCAGGGCCGGAAGCCGCUGCUUUGUCUUUGUCCUGGGGCGACUUGGGGCCCAGGAAACAGACUCAGAAUUCAGGGCUCCCGUCUCUAGGGCAGGAAUAUCAGGGGUCCCUGCGGGGGGCAGGGUUUGCUCCUCCCAUUGUGGGCCCAGGAGCUGGUAUGGUUGUGCCCACCUCAUCACCCCCCGUGCCAACUUGGAGGGCACAAAGCCCCGGCCCAGCAGCUUGAACAGCAUUUCCAAGAACAGGGUCUGCAGUCCCUGGGGGUACAGAGCUGGCUGUUCCUCACCCGGCUUGGGGGCAAAAAAGGUGAAGGAGGGUGAGGAGGGGGCACCCCCUAAGCCAGGCCCACCCCUCCUCCACCAGCCUUGCCCCUCACCCAUGCACUGAGCCAAGCGGUGGUUGUCAUCGAAGACACCCAGGAAGUCAAUGAAGCUUACGAUUCCAUCACCUGGGGAGAGAGGAGAGGGGGUGCUGUGGGUGCCUGCCCCCUGCAGAAGGCCUGCCUUGCACAUGCCUGCUGGCAGUUCCAGGUGUUAGAGAAUCUAGUCCUGCCUCUAGCCAAGGGCAGACCCCAGUUUCAAUGGGGGAGAAACGGCCCAUGCCUUGGGGGUUCCCAAAUCAGGAUUAGGAUGAACACAGCAGCAACGUUUACAGGCCAUGAGAUAGGUGUGUUGGUCAGGGCAGGCUUCCUGGAAGAGGGAACUUUAAAAUAGGACCAGGCCAGGAUUUUGUGGGAAGGGGAGGCAUUCUUUAAAAGAAUGCCUGGAGGUGGGAGGGGACAAGAAGACAGGGUUGGGGCACCCACCAUCCAAGUCUGCCUGCCGCAGAGCCUCGAACGUCUCCUGUGGACUCAGCUGGAUACCCACAUUGCCCAGGGCAACUUUCAUGCUGUGCAUGUCCACGGUGCCUGUUGGGCUGGAGCUGAAGAGUUUGAAGAUAUCCUGGAAGGCUGAGGGUAGAGGGGACAGGUGGCAAGACGAACCACCCACACAAGAACCCUGAGAGCUGCCCACUCUAACUCAGGUGGAACUGACGACUUGGCUCAUUCCAACUCCCUCCUGGGUGUUUUAAAUUUUUAUUUAUUUAUUUAUUUAUUUUUGAGACAGAGUCUCACUCUUUGCCCAGGCUGGAGUGCAGUGGCGAGAU
rnacentral:lncRNA from 10 species